CAGUCGCCGCGGUAAUACGUAGGGUGCGAGCGUUAAUCGGAAUUACUGGGCGUAAAGCGUGCGCAGGCGGUUUGUUAAGACAGAUGUGAAAUCCCCGGGCUUAACCUGGGGACUGCAUUUGAAACUGUCAGGCUGGAGUCUUGUAGAGGGGGGUGGAAUUCCAGGUGUAGCGGUGAAAUGCGUAGAGAUCUGGAGGAAUACCGGUGGCGAAGGCGGCCCCCUGGACAAAGACUGACGCUCAGGUGCGAAAGCGUGGGGAGCAAACAGGAUUAGAUACCCGCGUAGUCCCUGUCUCUUAUAC
rnacentral:rRNA from 1 species